GACGGGGCCGCACAAGCGGUGGAGCAUGUGGUUAAUUCGAAGCAACGCGAAGAACCUUACCAGGCCUUGACAUGCAGAGAACUUUCCAGAGAUGGAUUGGUGCCUUCGGGAACUCUGACACAGGUGCUGCAUGGCUGUCGUCAGCUCGUGUCGUGAGAUGUUGGGUUAAGUCCCGUAACGAGCGCAACCCUUGUCCUUAGUUACCAGCACGUUAUGGUGGGCACUCUAAGGAGACUGCCGGUGACAAACCGGAGGAAGGUGGGGAUGACGUCGAGUCAUCAUGGCCCUUACGGCCUGGGCUACACACGUGCUACAAUGGUCGGUACAAAGGGUUGCCAAGCCGCGAGGUGGAGCUAAUCCCAUAAAACCGAUCGUAGUCCGGAUCGCAGUCUGCAACUCGACUGCGUGAAGUCGGAAUCGCUAGUAAUCGUGAAUCAGAAUGUCACGGUGAAUACGUUCCCGGGCCUU
rnacentral:rRNA from 1 species